rnacentral:rRNA from 1 species
UACGUAGGGUGCGAGCGUUGUCCGGAAUUACUGGGCGUAAAGAGCUCGUAGGUGGUUUGUCGCGUCGUUCGUGAAAACCUGAGGCUUAACCUUGGGCGUGCGGGCGAUACGGGCAGACUGGAGUACUGCAGGGGAGACUGGAAUUCCUGGUGUAGCGGUGGAAUGCGCAGAUAUCAGGAGGAACACCGGUGGCGAAGGCGGGUCUCUGGGCAGUAACUGACGCUGAGGAGCGAAAGCGUGGGGAGCGAACAGG